rnacentral:rRNA from 1 species
AGGACGAACGCUGGCGGCGUGCUUAACACAUGCAAGUCGAGCGGUAAGGCCUUUCGGGGUACACGAGCGGCGAACGGGUGAGUAACACGUGGGUGAUCUGCCCUGCACUCUGGGAUAACGCCUGGGAAACUGGGUCUAAUACCGGAUAUGACCUGCUCUCGCAUGGGGGUGGGUGGAAAGAUUUAUCGGUGCAGGAUGGGCCCGCGGCCUAUCAGCUUGUUGGUGGGGUAAUGGCCUACCAAGGCGACGACGGGUAGCCGACCUGAGAGGGUGACCGGCCACACUGGGACUGAGACACGGCCCAGACUCCUACGGGAGGCAGCAGUGGGGAAUAUUGCACAAUGGGCGAAAAGCCUGAUGCAGCGACGCCGCGUGAGGGAUGAAAGGCCUU